GACAGGAAACAUUCCUACUUCUUCUGGCCAAGAAAUUAUUUUUCCAGCUACUUGUCUUUUUGGCAGUGACUGUAGCGCUGGGUUGGUGGGUCGCACUAGGUGUCAGUUGUGCUAUGGGAACGCUGUGUGUUCGAGUUACUUCAUGCUGGGGGGGUCAGCAAUAAGUUUUCUCCAUGCUACUGUUAAGGAAAAAUACUCUAAUUUGAGCACUAUUUAAAGGAGCUCUCAUUCAAAUGCGUAAUUUUACCCAGGGAAGAGAUGACUGAAGAACUGAUUUUCUGGUCUUACCUAGUCACUUUGGCUGCAGUAAUCACUAUGUCUAAGAUGAACUUCUGAGGAUGUCUAUUAAAACGAUGAUUUGUAAUUCAGCUCUGGAAUUAUUGAAGCUUUAGGGAACUGAAAGGCAAGAUUUUUAUUAAGUGAAUCCACCCAUUUCUAAUUCCACCAUUCUCAAGAAUAAAAGUAGUUAUAUUUAAGCACCAGAGAAUAAAAAUAGUUAAAUUUAAGCACCAGAGGAAAAUACCAUUAAUAAUUGAAAUAGUUGUUGCUUAGAAGUGAAAAAAUAGAAGUAAACACUUUGUCAGCAGAAUGCAGUUUCUAGACUGCAGGAGGUGAAAUGUAGAACACAGCUCUUGGUGUUCCUCUUCAGCACUAAAAAAACCCACAUUUGAAGGUCUGCAAGAAGAUGGGUAUUUCAUGAAAUACACGGUAUGAGAAGAAGCAUUACUGAGAAAAAAAACCCAACAUGUCCACAUCAGCUGGCUGCCACCUGACGUGACAUUUCUUCUCAUCCUCUGCC